rnacentral:rRNA from 1 species
AUUGAACGCUAGCGGGAUGCCUUACACAUGCAAGUCGAACGAGUGGCGGACGGGUGAGUAAUAUAUCGGAACGUGCCCAGUAGCGGGGGAUAACUACUGGAAACAGUGGCUAAUACCGCCUACCAUCGGAUGUGCCCAUAUGGGAUUAGCUAGUUGGUGGGGUAAAGGCUCACCUAGGCAACGAUCCGUAGCUGGUUUGAGAGGAUGACCAGCAACACUGGGACUGAGACACGGCCCAGACUCCUACGGGAGGCAGCAGUGGGGAAUUUGGGACAAUGGGGGAAACCCUGAUCCAGCCAUGCCGCGUGUAUGAGAAGGCCUUCGGGUUGUAAAGUACUUUUGGCAGGGAAGCGGUAUCUGCAGAAUAAGCACCGGCUAACUACGUGCCAGCAGCCGCGGUAAUUC